GUUAGCGCUACAAACAACGAAAAGGCUGCUGCCAAGGUAGCUGCAGCUAAUGCCGACAGUGGAGCUCCAACAAUGUAUCAUCCUUCACAUAUUAAAACUGGUUUGAUCUCACUUUCAAUAUCAGGGCAUAGUUUUCAGUCCAAAGUAUUCUAUUUAACUGUUAAGUUUUGAUCAAUUAAAACAUUGAAACUCGGUGAUGGUUCCAAUUUAAGGAAAGUAUCCAGAGAGAAAAAUGAUAAUAAUUUUUCUCUAGUUAACUUUAGAAGGACUACUUGCAGUAAUCUAAUUCAAUGGAUUUCAAUAUAUAAAUUAUGGGGUCAUGCAUCUAGAAAAGAUAAAGUACCUUGUCAAUAUCAUUGCUGCUUCUUUUUUCUUUUUCUGUUUAAACCCGUAUGUCAUUUACAUUUUCCUGACAGGAUGACUAAUAGGUAUCCUGUCAACAUAAACAAACAAAAAGACCUGAUCAAUCUUUUGGGAGCUACCUAUGCUGUUGUUCUUUUCCUUGCAGCUAGCAAUGCCUCUGUCGUGCAAUCUAUUGUGGUGGUUGAGCAGCAUGAAUGUACUCAGGGUUUCCUUAUGCAUUUGCUCAAGUGGCUGUUGAAUCCUAGGAACAAGGCAUUGUUAGAGAUUUGGAAAAAGUCUGGUUCCUACUCUAUCAGGUUCAAAUGAUGAUUGGUACUGGUUGUAUGUUGCUGCUAGUUCACGUUUUCUUACAUGUUGUGUUUGUCCAAAUGAAAGAGAAGGCAAAUGUGUCGCUGGAAGUGUUAGCACCCCAGGCAUAGAUCCCUUGGAUGUCUUUCAAGGACAUGAGCUGCUUGUCAUAGAGGAAAAGUGAGCACACCAUGCAGUGAAGGCUUUCCCCAAAGAUGACCCAUCUAAGCCCUACAAGCUGACUGCUUCCCAUAUAUGAAACUAUUGUUACAUUUAUAUAAUUAAGUCCAAAUGUUGUUCAUCGUAGUUUUAUUGCUUUCUUUCGAUGCUAUUGCAUCGCCCCAUGUAAUCCUUAGUUUCAUUUAAUAAAGAUUGUUGUUCUUCCAUAAAAGAAAAUGUACAUCAUAAGAGUCACUUUCAGACCA